rnacentral:tRNA from 1 species
AGUCAAUUUAGUUUAUCUAAAAUAGAGGUAUGUGGCGCCUAAGAUGUAAUCAUUACAUUUGACA